GUGCCAGCCGCCGCGGUAAUACCGGCAGCACGAGUGAUGACCGCUAUUAUUGGGCCUAAAGCGUCCGUAGCUGGCCAGGCAAGUCUAUCGGGAAAUCUGCGCGCUUAACGCGCAGGCGUCCGGUGGAAACUGCAUGGCUUGGGACCGGAAGACCAGAGGGGUACGUCCGGGGUAGGAGUGAAAUCCCGUAAUCCUGGACGGACCACCGGUGGCGAAAGCGCCUCUGGAAGACGGAUCCGACGGUGAGGGACGAAAGCUCGGGUCACGAACCGGAUUAGAAACCCUUGUAGUCC
rnacentral:rRNA from 1 species